rnacentral:tRNA from 1 species
GCAUGGCUCAGUGGUAGAGCACAUGCCUGGCAUGCAUGGGGCCCUGUGUUUGAUCCCCAGAACUGCA